GGGAUAACCCCGGGAAACCGGGGCUAAUACCGGGUAAUACCUGACUCCGCAUGGAGUNNGGUUGAAAGAUGGCUUCUUGCUAUCACUUACAGAUGGGCCCGCGGNGCAUUAGCUAGUUGGUGAGGUGCGGCUCACCAAGGGAACGAUGCGUAGCCGACCUGAGAGGGUGAUCGGCCACACUGGGACUGANACACGGCCCAGACUCCUACGGGAGGCANCAGUAGGGAAUCUUCCGCAAUGGACGAAAGUCUGACGGAGCAGCCCCACGUGAACGAUGAAGGUCUUCGGAUCCUAAAGUUCUGUUGUCAGGGAAGAACAAGUCCCGUGCGAAUAGAGGGGUACCUUGACGGUACCUGACCUNAAAGCCACGGCUAACUACGUGCCAUCAGCCGCGGGAAUACNUAGGUGGCAAGGGUUGUCCGGAAUUAUUGGGCGUAAAGCGCGCGCAGGCGGUUUCUUAAGUCUGAUGUGAAAGNCCCCGGCUCANCNNNGGAGGGUCAUUGGAAACUGGNGAACUUGAGUACAGAANAGGAGAGUGGAAUUCCACGUGGAACAGUGAAAUGCAUAAAUAUGUGGAGGAACACCAGUGGCGAAGGCCACUCUCUGGUCUGUAACUGACGCUGAGGCGCGAAAGCGUGGGGAGCGAACAGGAUUAGAUACCCUGGUAGUCCACGCCGUAAACGAUGAGUGCUAGGUGUUAGGGGGCUUCCACCCCUUAGUGCUGAAGUUAACGCAUUAAGCACUCCGCCUGGGGAGUACGGCCGCAAGGCUGAAACUCAAAGGAAUUGACGGGGGCCCGCACAAGCGGUGGAGCAUGUGGUUUAAUUCGAAGCAACGCGAAGAACCUUACCAGGUCUUGACAUCUUCGGACNCCCCUGGAGACAGGGNUGUCCCUUCGGGGACGGAGUGACAGGGGGNGCANGNUUGUCUCCNNCUCGNGUCGGGAGAUGUGGGNUAAANUCCCGCANCNAGCGCACCCUCUGACCGUNUUUGCCACNNUUCAGNUGGGCACUCUAANGAUGACUGCCGGUGACAAACCGGAGGAAGGCGGGGAUGACAUCAAAUCAUCNAUGCCCCUUAUGACCUGGGCUACACACGUGCUACAAUGGAUGGUACAAAGGGCAGCAAAACCGCGAGGUCGAGCAAAUCCCAUAAAACCAUUCUCAGUUCGGAUUGCAGGCUGCAACUCUCCUGCCUGAAGCCGGAAUCGCUAGUAAUCGCGGAUAACCAUGCCGCGGUGAAUACUUUCCCGGGCCUUGUACACACCGCCCGUCACACCACGAGAGUUGGCAACACCCGAAGUCGGUGAGGUAACCUUUUUGGAGCCAGCCGCCGAAGGUGGGGCCAAUGAUUGGGGUGAAGUCGUAACAAGGUAGCCGUAUCGGAAGGUGCGGCUGGAUCACCUCCU
rnacentral:rRNA from 1 species